rnacentral:rRNA from 1 species
UACGUAGGGGGCGAGCGUUGUCCGGAAUCAUUGGGCGUAAAGAGCUCGUAGGCGGUUCAGCAAGUCGGCUGUGAAAUUCCGAGGCUCAACCUCGGAACUGCAGUCGAUACUGCUGUGACUCGAGUCCGGUAGAGGAGAAUGGAAUCCCGGUGUAGCGGUGAAAUGCGCAGAUAAUCGGGAGGAACACCAGUAGCGAAGGCGGCCCUCUGGACGGUGACUGACGCUGAGACGCGAAAGCGUGGGGAGCAAACAGG